rnacentral:rRNA from 1 species
UCUGACGUUAGCGGGGACGGGUGAGUAACACGUGGAUAACCUACCUAUAAGACUGGGAUAACUUCGGAAACCGGAGCUAAUACCGGAUAAUAUAUUGAACCGCAUGGUUCAAUAGUGAAAGACGGUUUUGCUGUCACUUAUAGAUGGAUCCGCGCCGCAUUAGCUAGUUGGUAAAGGUAACGGCUUACCAAGGCAACGAUGCGUAGCCGACCUGAGAGGGUGAUCGGCCACACUGGAACUGAGACACGGUCCAGACUCCUACGGGAGGCAGCAGUAGGGAAUCUUCCGCAAUGGGCGAAAGCCUGACGGAGCAACGCCGCGUGAGUGAUGAAGGUCUUCGGAUCGUAAAACUCUGUUAUUAGGGAAGAACAAAUGUGUAAGUGACUAUGCACGUCUUGACGGUACCUAAUCAGAAAGCCACGGCUAACUACGUGCCAGCAGCCGCGGUAAUACGUAGGUGGCAAGCGUUAUCCGGAAUUAUUGGGCGUAAAGCGCGCGUAGGCGGUUUUUUAAGUCUGAUGUGAAAGCCCACGGCUCAACCGUGGAGGGUCAUUGGAAACUGGAAAACUUGAGUGCAGAAGAGGAAAGUGGAAUUCCAUGUGUAGCGGUGAAAUGCGCAGAGAUAUGGAGGAACACCAGUGGCGAAGGCGACUUUCUGGUCUGUAACUGACGCUGAUGUGCGAAAGCGUGGGGA